UACGUAGGGGGCAAGCGUUGUCCGGAAUCAUUGGGCGUAAAGCGCGCGUAGGCGGCCCUGUAAGUCCGUUGUGAAAGUCAAAGGCUCAACCUUUGAAAGCCGAUGGAUACUGCAGGGCUAGAGUCCGGAAGAGGCGAGUGGAAUUCCUGGUGUAGCGGUGGAAUGCGUAGAUAUCAGGAGGAACACCAAUAGCGAAGGCAGCUCGCUGGGACGGUACUGACGCUAAGGCGCGAAAGCGUGGGGAGCGAACAGG
rnacentral:rRNA from 1 species